rnacentral:lncRNA from 1 species
GAGAUGGAGUCUCGCACUGUCACCCGGGCUGGAGUGCGAGUGCAGUGGUGUGAUCUUGGCUCACUGCAAGCUCCACCUUCCAGGCUCAAGCAAUUCUCCUGCCUCAGCCUCCUGAGUAGCUGGGAUUACAGGCGCCCACCACCACGCCAGGCUAAUUUUUUGUAUUUUUAGUAGAAACGGGUUUCAUUAUGUUGGCCAGGCUGGUCUUGAACGCCUGACCUCGUAUCCACCCGCCUCAGCCUCCCAAAGUGCUGGGAUUACAAGCAUGAGCCACCACGCCCAGCCCAUAAUUUAUUGAUUUUUUAAAAUUUGUCCAGCCUUCUAUCACCACGUCGAACCCAUUAGCUACAGCCAUCCCAUGAGAAGCUGAGUGGAUUCAGCCCCACCUCCUGCUCACAGACCCUGUCCGAGCACCUCAUUCGUCCCAACAGCGUCACUGCAGGACCCCCAGGACGUUGGACUGCCAGCUCCCUGGGUCUCCUCCUCUCUGGGGCAGAUCCUCAGUCCUCCCUUGACUUCACGACUAUGGCCAGAUCAUGUGUGGACUGUCCCUCUCUUUGGGUCUCCAGAGCGCUUGCAUCAAACACCCCUAACUCAGAAGUGUGCAGCCACACUGGGACUCAGAACCCAACAACAGGGACAGAAGACUCACGCCCUUGGGGUGCCCGGUCUCGUGGCAUCAGGCAUGACUUCCAGCUCCUGCGCCUUCCCCAGCAACUGCUGACUGGGGACCCAGACCGGGAGCUGAGCGACGGGCCUGGCGAGCGAAGCUCGGGGUCUCACUCAGGCACCAGCCCCUCCUUGCCCCAGGCCCUUGGCACAGCCCUAUUCAGGCAGGAGCUGCUCUUCUGGGGUAUCGCGAUCCACUUAAGGAUGAGGCAGACUUGGUGACAAGCUGGUCUGAGCAGGUAUGGGAGCCCCCUG